UACGUAGGGUGCAAGCGUUGUCCGGAAUUAUUGGGCGUAAAGAGCUCGUAGGCGGUUUGUCGCGUCUGCUGUGAAAACUCGGGGCUUAACUCCGGGCCUGCAGUGGGUACGGGCAGACUAGAGUGCGGUAGGGGAGACUGGAAUUCCUGGUGUAGCGGUGAAAUGCGCAGAUAUCAGGAGGAACACCGGUGGCGAAGGCGGCUACCUGGCCCACUCUUGACGCUGAGGCGCGAAAGCUAGGGGAGCAAACGGG
rnacentral:rRNA from 1 species